rnacentral:lncRNA from 1 species
CAUUAUAUAAAUAUAAGUUAAGAUCCAAAUCACAUCAUAAAUUUAUGAUAACAUAUAUUUAAUCAUCUCAGCCAAUUCGUCCUCUUGUGUUUGAUAGUAAAAAAUAACACUGACUCAUGACCACAUGUGUUAUCCUUAUGAUUGCAAUGUAUGAUUCAACAACUAUCUUUCCAUCGCAAAAGGAUGGCCUUCAUGCACCAUUAAGUUUGGAUUAGGACUGCGAAGUUGCUUGCUGCGUUGCUUGAGCCCUUAAGAGAAAACCAAUCAGGUUAUCCGUCUCUUGUUGCUUCUUUUGCCAAACUUCAUUCUUCUCUUGCUUGAUUUUCUUCACAUCUUCCAAUUCUUCGUGUUGCUUCCUCUGCACCUCUUCAAAUGCUCUCGCUUGUGCUUCAAAUCUCGCCACUAACUCCUCGCAGUGCCUAUAAAUUGACAAAACACAAAAACAUUGCAUCUUGAUGAGAUGAAAACAGACAAGAUAAAAAGGUACAAGAGUACCACUAAGAAGCUUACAAUCUAUCAAAAUGUGAAUGUAAAAUAGAGAGGUACAUUAUUAAAUGUGAAGGCAAACAUAUGGAUGGGCAAAUGAAACAGUAAACCAAAGAAUAACUUAUAAUGGUUAAAAGCAUGCUUAACUAAGAGAUAAAUUUCAUUUAUCGUUCUGGAAAGGAGCAAGCAUCACUGAUAAGAUAUCAGGUCAGCAACCUAGGCAAGAAGCAACUAUGCUUGGACAACAAUUUUUUAGAUCAAACUCAAACAACCUAUAUCAUUCUACUAAAAAGCAAGCAGAUAAACCAAUCAACAAAUCAUACUAGAUUUCAGGAUUAGAAACCAUACAUAACAAUCUUAUUCUCAUGCCUUUGUGUUGUAGCAGCAAAAACCAUGCAACAAACCAUGUAUUUCUCAUUACAAGAAUUUAUUAUUUUUAUGUCACUUUGGAUUAUUGGAUUUGGAUCAAACCAUACAUAAACUGCGAAGCACUCCUUAGUUUGUUACAAGAACUGAAGACGAAUGUCUUAUUCACAAGUAUUUGUGUAUUCAUUUUCUUACUAUAACGAGGGCAACUGUGCACGGGCAGAAAAGCAGGAAAAAAACAACAACAAGAACAAAACAAGAAACAAGACAAGUACCUGUCAUUUGCCUCUCUUGCCUCUCUAUCCUUUUGCUCAAUUCUUGCUUCUAGAACUCAGAUCCUUGCUGAUAAAUUAGAGUUUCCAAAUCUCCCGGAUCUUGAUGCAUAACUCAUGCUAGAGAGGAAGGUGCUAUGGGCGUUUUCUUCCUUUAGAACUUCAACCACAAUCGUUGAAUCAGACACUGGUUGCUCACCUUCUGAUUGUGUUUCCCUUUUAUUUUCCAUUGCAUUAUAUUGUAUAAGGAAAACAUUGAUGCUCAAGUAAGGCAAAGUUCAUAUGAUGGAUACACUCGAUCAAUAUGAGAAUCUAUUUCAAGUCAGAAAAAAUAAAGGAAGAAAUCUUACAUAAGCUAGAUGUGUCAGCUCACUCACACUGUUAGUAUGGGUCUCUUUGAAAAACUCAAUGGGACUUGGGUCCUGAUUCUUGUACUUGCCUUUUUCCUAUAUAUGAAAAUCUAACAUUACUACUCCAUAUAUAAUAACAAGAUGCGAUAGACAUAGACUAGAAGUAAGGUAUUUGGAAUUCUUACAAUUUUGCUGGAAGUGGAAACAUAAGACCCAUAAAGCCAGUGAAUGCACACUGAUGUACACAUUAUUCAAGAUGUAGUCCACACGAUAUAUUACCAUUGCUUUGGACAUAUCAAGAGUGUCUUCCUCUUCAUCUCUAAAAGCCCCUUCCUGGAGCUUACAUGAAUAUAAUAAAGUAGAUAAAUAGGAUGCAAGCACGAGAUGCACUAAUAUUGUGCAUAACUAAUUGUUAAAGUAGAAUUAAUGAAAAGCAUUUACUCUUGCUUGCACUAUGAGUAAGCAUAUGGAUGGAGUACUUGUAACGUAACUGAUUGAUUUAGCUGUUACAAGUUGGCUUUGCAUUGGUGGUAGACAAAAAGAAACUAGAAUGUGUAAAACAGUCAUAACUCGUAAGCAGGCAGCAGUGCCAACAAGAAGUUCAUGUCAGAAUGUAUAAAUAGAAAAUGAAGAUCUCAUGCAUUGGGAUCUAACAAGGAAAGAAAUCAACAUGCAUGAUGCAGCUGGGUCACAGUCAGGGAGAAGCAGCCAACAGGCCAAGAAAAACAAGACCAGAAUGUUCAGAAUAAAAAACAGCAAAAAAAUAUGAUUGCCAUAGCUACUGGCAUAGUUUAGAAACCAGAAAGUUUACUACUAUUUCAGAAUUAAGGCUCGAUGGAUGGUGUUGUGUGUUUGCAAAGUAGGAGCAGGUUGAUUUUACCCAGCUUAGUAUGUCACAAUAUAGUAAAAAAACUGAAGUUACCAUGUAUCUGCUUUUAUCAAGUUCUGGGCGUAUUGAAAAUGCUUGUGGGCUUCAGACGCUUAACAUCAUGGGUAGCUAAAUUGGGAGAGGCAUGUCAAAUAUUAAGUUUAGUUCUCUUUUAACUAGUACUGGAGAGAAAGGUACACUGAUACAUAGCUAUACAUCUCGUUAAGGAGUCAAAAUCAAGUGCAGUCUCAGUCUUUAUUCAGUUUUGACAACACCAGUUAAGGACUAUUUAUGGGACAGCAGAGCCACAAACAUAGAAUUCAGUUUCACGUUUUAACAUAGAUAAAGUGGUUGCAUCAAGAAGCUAGUUUAUCUGUACAUGUAGAUACAGGGAUACAAGGAUGCGCUGCUUCCUGCUUGUAAUUAGUUCUCCUUUUAUAUGCUGCAUACUUUAGUUCAUGUGUUUAUGUUCAUCUGAUUAUGACACCAUACAACGAUCAAGAGCAUCUAGUUUUUUUCAUUACAGCAGGGUACAACCAUCAGAUGGUUAACAUAUAAUUUUCUUCUGAAUGCAAGAGUAGCCAUACACACACAUGGCAGCAAAAGAAAUCUCCCAGCUAAGGCCACACAUCUCAUACCUAACUGAACUUUUCCAUAACGGCUAACUGUACUACAAUAGCUUAUAUUCAGGUUCAUCCCUUUUUACAAUAGCAUGCUAUAACAAAUGCAAAACCAUGUUCACUAUUGCAGUUUUGCACACAGACCUAUCAAUAGGAUAUCAAGUAAAGUUAUCUAGCAGGAGGUUCAGGCUUUUUACCAUCGCAGGAUGUGGCAAAUCCUAAUUGCAGAGAAGGGCGGGAUGAGUAGUAGUAUGCAUGAAACCUAAUCAUUGAACGCCAAGGGGUGGCUCGAUGAGGAGGGCGAGAUGAGGAAAUCACCCAGACGUCGCCGGUCGCUGGGGAAAAGAGAGCCGGAUGCUCGCUGGGCGGGUUGAUGCGGUG